UGUGUAGAAAUGAACUCUUGUCAGAGUUUCAAUGGAAUUAAUAUUUUUAGUAAAAUGUUAAUAGUGAAUGUGCUAAUGUAAAGAGUUAGAAGAUUAGUGAUGCAUAAUGAAAGUAAUGCAUUCUUUUGCAUGAAAAUAGGAAUAUAAUAAAUGUCCUUCAGGUGAUUGAAGCUGCAGUAAUUUUAUUGCAGAUUAAAGUUUGAUUGACCUUUGUUAGGGUGAUUAACCCUUCUGAAAUUAAAAGCCCGGAUGAAAUUAUUCUGUUCAAUUUAAAUGCAAA
rfam:Monodelphis domestica cont3.039563, whole genome shotgun sequence.